rnacentral:rRNA from 1 species
UACGGAGGAGGCAAGCGUUAUCCGGAAUUAUUGGGCGUAAAGCGUCCGCAGGUGGCGAUUCAAGUCUGCGGUCAAAGACCGGGGCUUAACCCCAGAAAGGCAGUGGAAACUGAAGUGCUAGAGUGCAGUAGGGGUAGAGGGAAUUCCCGGUGUAGCGGUGAAAUGCGUAGAGAUCGGGAAGAACAUCGGUGGCGAAAGCGCUCUGCUGGACUGCAACUGACACUCAGGGACGAAAGCUAGGGGAGCGAAUGGG